GUGUAGUGUGUAUAUAAUGCAGUGUUUGUGUAGUGUGUGUAUAUAUUGCACACUACACAAAUACACUGCAUUAUAUACACACUACACAAA
rnacentral:miRNA from 1 species